GAUGAACGCUGGCGGCGUGCCUAAUACAUGCAAGUCGAGCGAACAGACGAGGAGCUUGCUCCUCUGACGUUAGCGGCGGACGGGUGAGUAACACGUGGAUAACCUACCUAUAAGACUGGGAUAACUUCGGGAAACCGGAGCUAAUACCGGAUAAUAUAUUGAACCGCAUGGUUCAAUAGUGAAAGACGGUUUUGCUGUCACUUAUAGAUGGAUCCGCGCCGCAUUAGCUAGUUGGUAAGGUAACGGCUUACCAAGGCAACGAUGCGUAGCCGACCUGAGAGGGUGAUCGGCCACACUGGAACUGAGACACGGUCCAGACUCCUACGGGAGGCAGCAGUAGGGAAUCUUCCGCAAUGGGCGAAAGCCUGAAGGAGCAACGCCGCGUGAGUGAUGAAGGUCUUCGGAUCGUAAAACUCUGUUAUUAGGGAAGAACAAAAGUGUAAGUAACUAUGCACGUCUUGACGGUACCUAAUCAGAAAGCCACGGCUAACUACGUG
rnacentral:rRNA from 1 species